rnacentral:lncRNA from 1 species
CUUUUACACCAUUGUUCUCGUCAUUAAUUUUCUCUAUUUUGGCAGAAUCGUCAGAGUUAUACCCAACUUCUUGGUGAUGCUAAAGCUUUGGUGAAGGCAGCACCUUCGAGGAUGCCUGGGUACAGGAGAGGUAAAGGUGAAACUAGGACUUCUAUUAAAGAUAAUAAGGUGGAAGCAAGUUCAGCUAAGAAAAGAGCUUCUGGCGUUGCUGAUCUUUUGAAAGCCUUCAUCACACGAUUUGUUCGACUAAAUGGCAUUCUUUUCACGCGGACAAGGUCUGUUCUGAAUUUUUACACUGUUUAGUAUAUUGUGACAUUAAAAUUACAAACCAAUGAUGCUUAUACGUUUCUCAUGUUUAUCCAGCUUGGAAACUUUUGAGGAAGUCUUCUCAAUGGUUAGAAAUGAUUUGUUAGAACUUCUUUCUUCUGGGCCAGAUGAGGAGUUCAACUUUGGUUCUGAUGCUGCACUGUGUCAACUAGUAAUUGUCAGACUGAUCAUUAUUCUCAUAUUUAUUGUUCAUGAUGUGAGCAAGGAAAACAAAAACCAAUCAUAUGCUGAUAGCCUACAGCGUUCAGUCCUGCUUCAUAAUGCAUUUACUGCUACCUUCGAAUUUAUGGGUUAUGUACUUGAACGCUGCAACAAGUUGAAUGAUCCUUCAUCUAGCUUUUUAUUGCCUGGUAUCAUGGUUUUCGUAGAAUGGUUAGCCUGUAACCAUAAUGUUGCAGUAGACAGUGGUCUGGAGGAGAAGCAAGCGAAUGUUAGAUCCUUUUUUUGGAACAAUGUUAUCGCCUUCUUUAAUAAGCUCUUAUCAAGUGGAUAUGUAUAUAUUGGUGAAGAUGAAGACGAAACAUGUUUCUCCCAUGCGAGUGAGUACGAUGAAUUUGAGACUGCUAAUCGUCUUGCAUUGCCUGAAGACUUUGAAUUGAGAGGAUUCUUUCCUCUUCUUCCUGCUCAAGUUACCCUCGAUUUUUCAAGGAAGCAUAGUUUUGGAAGUGAUGGUGGCAAUAAGGAAAAGAAAGCCCGCAUUCAGAGGAUUAUUGCAGCUGGAAAGGCUCUCGCAAAUGUGGUCCAGAUUGGGAAGGAGGGAAUAUAUUUUGACACGAAGUUGAAGAAAUUCUUGAUCGGUGUUGAACCCCAAAUUUCUGUUGAUUAUCCACUCACCAGCCCUUUAGAAGAUCCCAAAAUAAAUGGUAAUUCGCUAGAAAAUUCUGUUGAGGGCCAAGUGGUUCUAGCUGCUAGGCCCAAGCUGGAGGUUGAUGCUGAAGGAGAGGAAGACGACGAGGUUAUUGUCUUCAGGCCAUCUAAGACUGAGAAGCAUGUGAGUGACUUCGCAUCAAAGUUAACUUCUUCAGAGGUUCUUGCUUCCACUGUUGGUGAUGGAAGGGUUCAUUGUGGGAAUCAGAAUGGGUCUGUUUCUGUUGGAGAUGAGAGUUUCCUCUUACAGGGUGCUCCAAGCACUGGACGAUCUAUAGCUGUUGCUAACUGCACUUCUCAGUAUAUGCUACCAGUCCAACCCAGCUUUUCAAAGUACUUGGUAGAACAAGCUCCAACCCUGAAUGGCUUGUCCCACUUGAGUUUGAUGGAAAAUGGAUCUUUUAUGAAACCUGCUCUGCAAGAUCAAUUGGGAGUGUCCCAGCCUGCUGCUUCUGCUGUUCCCUACCCUCGGUUUGUCAACACUGAUUCUGGACAUAAUUAUCCUGUUCAGAUUUCACAAACUGCUGUAACAUCUAAAUUUGAUUCCAUUAUGUACCCCAGAGCAGCUACUGAUGGCCCGUUUGUCAAACCAUCACCAGCCAUAUCAGCAGGCAUAAAAAAGAAUCCUGUGAAUCAACCUGUUCGGCAUUUUGGGCCCCCACCUGGCUUUGGUUCCACUCCUUCUAAAACUGUGGAUGAGUCAUUGAACAGCAUGACAUUGAAAAAUGAAAAUCAUUUAACCCCUCAAAUGGACGAACAUAGCUGGCUAGAUGGAUAUGAGUUAUCUUCAAAUCAAAGUGCUGGAUUUAACAAGUCCAUUAAUCAUGUGGGACCAAAAUUCCCUUCUGCGAGCAAGAACAGUGGUUCAAUGGGAAUGACAAGCUUCCCUUUCCCUGGGAAGCAAGUCUCUGUGAUGCAAGUCCAGAGUCAAAACCAGAAAAGCUGGCUCGACUAUCAGUUGCCAGAGCAUUUGAUGCAGUACCAGGAGCAGCAGCAACAAUUUCAUGGAGGAAAUCAACAUUAUGUCAGGUCAAAGAAGUAUCAAGGACAAUCUCCUUUGGAAAGUCACUUCUUUGUGUGAGAUGAUUAGGGGAGCAUAGAUGGUAAGGUGUAUUCUGCCUCUUUAGUUUUUAGUCUUCAAAUCAUUAUUUUCUUCCUUCCCUCUCUAUAGAUGGGGGGCAGUUUCCUACUAUCUUGAAAUUGACUUUAUGUUGAGAUGCUCCACUUGAAUUUCUACCACAUCAAAUUUUCUUAACGUAUUAAGGUUUGAACAGUUUGACGCGACAAAUAUCCAUGGCUGGGUUGCUAUCAUUUCCACCAUUGCUUUUGCUGAAUCUUCCGUGUUGAGUUUUUGUUGGAGCAUGGUAGUAGUUGGAGUGUUGAAGGCACCUGAUUUUGAACAGGUUUCUCUCUGUCAAUUGACUUUUUCUUUUAAGAUGUUAGUUUUUCCUUUCAAAUUACGUAAAAUAAUCAAAACGUCUGACACAGUAGCCUUUUAUUUUGAUUUUAUACUGACUGAAUGUGUUUGUUCUUCUGAGUGUUAGUUUCUUCCUUUUGGCAUAUUUCUCUUUUUCCUUUUCUCAACUGUGGUUUUCAGCUCGAGGAAAAUGGUUUUUUUCAUGUGAAAGUGAUUUUGCAAUCUUUGGCCUUGCUGUUUGAGCAUCGCUUGCAUUUAACUUUUUCCCCCCUUGGUUCUCUCUAUUUUUAGCUCCUAAUGAAUGCAUAUAUGACCAUUUAGGGUCCUUUUGAUUGAGAGUUCCAACAUCUUUUUCUCUUUUACUUUUGGUUCGAUUGAAGAGAGGACAAACUGGGUCUGCCUAACUGUACUUUGCCCCCAUUUUCUUUUUUCACUGGUCUAGACGAGUUGUUUGGUAGAAGGGGUGUUGCCUUUGGUUACCAAUUUAUUAGUACCUUCUCUAUCUCGUGUUUUAUUUUUGCGAUAAAAUCUUGCUCCGAGUACCUUAUGUGUGCUUGUGUAUGUUUCUUGCAAGAUGAAUGAUAACUACCUUCACCAUUAGCCUUACAAGAGAAAGUGCUCAUUUUAUCCCUUAAAUAGCAACUAUCUCUAUAUUUGUCUUACCUUCCCCAACAUCCUUCAAUCAGAUGAAGAACUUGACUUCCUACAAUGCGAUCUGUUUAAUGAUGUAGAUAUUGCCAAUCGGCUCCUUGAUAAUGCUGUCAUACUACUUCGCCACCAGAAUAUUCUCUCCUGGGCACUGAUGCAUUUGUUACUUGGUAAAUGUGUGUAGCUUGGCCUAUGGAGUUAUUUGACACUGCAAUGAUUUGAUUAGUUUACUAAAUGAAGUUUGUAGCAAAUUGCUAAAUGGAUUUUUGCCUUUUGUAACUAUUUUGGACAUUUCUAAACCUUAUUUAGAAAAACAAUAGUCAAAAGCUAUUGCCCCUUGAGGGAAAAAAUAAUGAAUGGAGAUUAGAGCAUGGAUUUAGCCUGGAGACCCAUAUUCUGAUAUUUCAAACCAUGGCAUGGCUGGAGUAUCGUCAUCCCACUAGCAGACUAGGUGCAGAAGGAUAUGCUUGUAUUUUAUUGAAUGAUUUAGGUUUGAGUCAAUUUAUUAGCACUCCAUAAUUUUGGUUUUAUAUUGAGAAUUCGACUUAGGUUGAUUAUUCACAAUGCGAAUUAAAAUGGUAGAAUUUGAUAGCUAAACCUCACCCCCAAAAAAGGGAUUCAUUUGGUCUUUUAUACCUCUUUGUUGUCAUUUUUAUGUGUCAUUGCCCUCUAGUUGGAGGCUCUCUGUAAUUAUAAUGCCUUGUAUCACACACUGGGUAAAUUGUAUUAAUAUCUUUUUAGUUUUAUAUGCAGCUUCGGCGAGCUUCCAGACCUAUUGUAUGGAGCUUAUGAUAUCAAUAGGUGAUGUAACUGGUAAUUUUACAUGCAGGAGUGCCUUGUCUGGUUGGUCAGUCAGCCCUCUUCAGGAAUAUUGGGUUAUUCCCUGCAGUUAUGGGCAUUUGGAUGGAAUCAAUAGAAGUAUUUGGUUAUUCUAUUUUGCUAGGUGAAAGUGCUCAACUGAAUUGUUAGUACUUGCCUGAAAUGCCGCACUAGGCAUUUCAACAGCUAAACUUUCAAGUUAUAUUCUUGGCAGUCUCUACACUAGAGCUUUGCCUUUGCCUGAAGUUCUGAAAUGAUAUAUUCUGUGUGAAACUCGUGGGGAAGUUUCUGCGUUAGUGGAGUAUGUUAAGGAUGUUAUUGGUAUAACUAUGAAAUUAGUAACAUACAAGGAAUGUGAACUUUCACAUUUGAUUUUUUUUAUUUGUAAUAAUGUCGUGUCGCGUAAAACUCGUGGUUGCUUAACCGUUUAUGAGAUACAUUGUGGUGUUACAUUGUCUUUGGGAUCAAUGGUGUUCUUGUGUUGCAACUAUCAUAAUGUUCG